GGUUUGUCCCCCCCUUUUCCCCAAUUUUUUGUCCCCGUGUUGGGGACAAAGAAUGGGGAAAUAUCACCCCCCCCCUCCCAGAAGGCAGAGGUGGUGUAGCCAUUGCGCCCACACCUGGGCCCUCGAGACGGCAGGGGUUAGGGAGCCUGGGCUGGAGGAGGGAGUG
rnacentral:SRP_RNA from 1 species